rnacentral:rRNA from 1 species
AGAGUUUCGUAUCCUGGGCUCAGGGAUGAACGGCUAGCGGCAGGCCUAAUACAUGCAAGUCGGACGGUGCAGUAGCAAUGCUGCAGAGUGGCAAACGGGUGCGUAACGCGUAACAACCUGCCCCCAACUGGCGCAUAGCCCGGCGAAAGCUGGGGUAAUUCGCCAUGGUCCUGCCCCCUCACCUGGGGGGCGAAGUAAAGGCCUUCGGGCCGGUUGGGGAGGGGUUUGCGUCUGAUUAGGUAGUUGGGGGGGUAGCGGCCCACCAAGCCGAUGAUCAGUCGGGGCUCUGAGAGGAGGGUCCCCCACAUGGGCACUGCGACACGGGCCCAGCUCCUACGGGAGGCAGCAGUAGGGAAUAUUGGGCAAUGGCCGAGAGGCUGACCCAGCCAUGCCGCGUGCCGGACGAAGGCCCUCUGGGUUGUAAACGGCUUUUAUCCAGGAAGAAGAGUAGCGCUGCGGCGCUAUGUGACGGUACUGGAGGAAUCAGCACCGGCUAACUCCGUG